GCAACCCUCCAGUAUUCUUGCCUGGAGAAUCCCAUGGACAGAGGAGCCUGGCGAGCUACAGUCCAUGGAGUUGCAAAAGAGUUGGAUACAACUUAGUGACUAAACAACAGUAGGGUUCUACGAAGGGAAUGUAUCAUGAUCUAGUUAACCUGCCCCUUUCAGUGCACAAUUGAUUUGUUUCUCUCUCUUAUUGUUCAAGCAAACUGCAUUGUAUAGGCUCAUAUGUAGGUUUUUUAGUUUGUGUACAGGCAAAUCUCAAGGAUAAAGUCCCAGAAAUAGGAAUACCAGGCCAAAGAAUAAAUGCACUUAUAUUUCCAACAAAUAUUACCAAGUUGUAUUCUAUUGAUAUUGCACCAUUUUACACUUGUGGUAUUUUUUUCUAAUCUGGUGGAUUAAAAAUGGUAUCUCAAUAUUAAUUUGAUUUGCAUUUUUCUUAUGAUGAAUGAAAUUGUGCUAUAUAUAUAUGGAUUAUUUAUUGUUUUCUUUCUGUGAACUGUCUGUUCUGUUUUUUGCUUGUUUUUCUAUUGGGUUGUUUUCCUUUACUUUCUCAACUUUUAAGAAUUCUUUAUACAUCAGGGAUAUUAAUCCUUUGUCUGUGAUUAUCUUGGCAUUUAAAGCCCUAGGGAUCUGACCUCAUCUCUGACCUCAGCUAAUGUAAAUCUCUUUCCCACCUGUUACGCUCCAACCUCAAUAUUCUGUGAUCUCUUUCUUGCCUGAAGGCCUUUAAAGUUGCUGUCCCUCUGCCUGGCAUGCUGUUUUCCAGGUCACUGCAUAGCUGUCUCCUCCUUAUUACUCAGAGCUCUGCUGAAAUAUUGAUGGGCAAGGCUUUCCUGGACCAUAGUCUAUGAUAGACAACCAGUUCUGCUCCAUCGCACCAUUUAGGUUGACUUCUUUACAUAGCUCUUACUUGUCAUGAGUAUUUUUUCUUAUUUGCUUUAGUUUAUCAUCAGUGUCUCCCAAUCCAGAAUGGAAGCUCCAAGAGAAAUAGGUCUGUCUUGCUCAUCACACUAUCCCUAGAGCUUAAAACAUAGCAGGCACGUUUCAGACAGAUUGUGUGAAUAAUGAAUCCUUUCAUCCUCUCUCCAGGCAUCUUCACAUGUUUUUACAAUGUGCGUCACUUGUCUUAUUCCCUAGAAAGAAGAUUGAUAGCAAUAUGUGCUGAACACUGGACUUGGUUUUAUUAUACAUGUCAUUUCAUCCUUCUGGUCAUUCUGAGCUAGUCAGCACUAUGUUCCCUUUUAUUGUUUAUUUAUUAAGCUGAGACUCUAAUAAGCCCCAAAGAAGCCUCCAAGAACCUGUGAAUUAUAUGUGCUAGUCCAAAUGAGGCCAGUUGGUUUCAAUGUCCAUUCUCUUCUAAUUACACUAUACCUAGGACAUUACUUUACUUCUUAAAUUUCUGCAUGGUAUCUACUUGUUACUGGCACACUGUCCAUGUUCAAUAAGUCAAAGAAUUAAAAUAUGUCCGAGGCUGAAAGGGUCUUAAUGGUCACCUACACUUAACUAAGUGAUACAGCAAAUCAGCAGUAGGUCCAGGAUGCACAUCUAUAAUCUCUGUGUCUUUAUUGCUAGUUUCCUUCCUACUCCCUGCUAUCUUGAUAAUGUCAAGCUCAAUCUCACCACAGGGCCUUUGCACUUGCUGUUCCUUCUGUCUGGAAUUAUUUCCUUCUAGAUUUUUACACAACCAGCUCUUUGUCAUCACUCAGACCUCAGGGCACAUGACAUCCAUAGAGAAGACUUUUCUGACCACACAAACCAAAUUAGGCACCUCUCUUACCCCAACAACUCUCUAUUGUGUUUUUCUGCUUUUAUUUUCUUUUGAGUACGUCUCCCGAUCUGAACUUCUUAGUUUUCUUGCUUGUUGCAUGCCUUUCACACUAGGAUGUGAGCUCCAUGAGAAAGGAGCCUUAUCUAGUGUGUUCAUGGCUGUAUGACCAGUGUCUAGAAUAGCAGAACUACAAGAAACACUGUGAGAUUUAAAAAUUAACAAGAUGGCUCUAGAGGCAGCAUGGAAAAAAUGUCGGCCUGGGAAACUAAUCUGGCUCAGUGAUUACCCAGCUGCUACAUCAUAAAAAGUCACUGGGCUUUGGUUUUCUCACCUUUCAAGUAAGGAAAUGGGUAUUUUGUGGCAUCUUACAGUAUGAUAAUUCUAUGAAGUUGUAAAUUAUUCAUAUAAUUCAAGAGUGACUUUCCAAGAGAUGAAGUUUACCUCAGUGCAAACUCUUGCCCUGUUUUUUUUUUUUUUUUCCCCAUUUGGAAUGGGCAUAAAUUCUAAAAAGUACAAUACACUUUUUAAUUUUUAAGCAAAAUAAACAGAUCACCAUUUGCCUUCUUAUUGAACCGAAGUUCUCAUUCAUAAACGUGAAUAUUGUACCAUGUUGCAAGGAAAACAUUGGGAAUGUUAGUUUGUAUUAAUUGAUAGUUCUCCUUAUUAUGGUUCACAUUUUCCUGCUUCUUCACAUACUAACAAUCUUUGAUCAGAUGUUGUACAUUAUGAAUGUUAUGUUGUUGAAUUCUGGAUUUUGUUGUCUUCUUUGAUAGAGGGUUGAAUUUUGUUCUAACAGGCCGUUAAUUUAUUUGUAGAUCAAUGUGGUCUUUUCAAGAGAUGAUUUUGAUCCUUAUUAGGAUGGGUCUAGAGUAGCCUUUACUCAAGGUUAGACUCAACCUUCUCCUAAGAUGUGACCUUCCUGGGUCUCUCCCGACUGACUGCCUGGAGUGAUUUGUGAGAUCGCUCCACCUGGCUGGUCACAACUUUAAUGUCUCAUAGUCCCAUUUGAGUUUCAGUAGUUGUUUAGUUCACAGCACCCCAGUGGUUGCUCUUGCUCUAAUAGUUGUUCUUUGCCCAGCCUUGUGGAGUCUUGCCCCACACACAAAAAAUAGCUUAAUAAUCAGCCAGAGAUUCAUGAAGCCCCCUAAGCACGUGUCUAGAGUUCUUUGUCCGCAGGGUUCCUUCCUCUCCAGUGCUUUGCCCCGUGUUCACUUCAGAAGCCCUGAAUGCUGCUCAGUGUCUUGUCAGCUCACCAAGAGGACUGUGCUCCGAGUGCCCCUCCCUGUACCUCACUGGGUAAAGGACCUUCAGGCAGAAAGCUAGGGCAACUGAGGGAUUUAUCUCAUUUGUUUUCCUUCUCUUGAGGAUCACAGUCCUGUUUUGUACCUGAGAACAAUUAUUUUAUACAUUUUUGCCAGUUUAAGAGUUGUUUACAGUGGGAGACUAGUAUGGUAUGACAAUGGCUAGAAAUGGAAGUUGCCUCCUUUAGUGCAUUCAAGAUAUGUAAAAUCUCUCCGUCACCAAACAAAAUGACCCCAAUGUGCUAUAUCUUUUAAAAUAUUUUUUUUUGAAAAAUAUGAUGGCUUAUAAAGUUCAAAGAAAUUCAAAAGAUACAAACUGAUGUAAUAACUAGAUAUAUACCUGGUGUAAGUCACUAAGUCACAGAGUAUCAGGAUUAAGUAAAAUAAUGACCAAUGGUACAGGCCCAGUGACUGGAAUAUAAAUGAGCAUUUGAUAACUGUGUUCUUCUCUGUCUUAUGGGCGUGCUUAAAGUCAAGUCCUAUUUUAAAAUCAUUCGGUGAACUAGUUAUUUAAAGAAUUCCUGUGGUGAAUCUUUUUCCAAAGCAAAAGAUCCUUUUGUGAAAUGUGUGAACUCCUCCUAAUCUUUCUGUAAAUAUAGAUUUUUAUAUAUUUGGUUGGCUUAACGUGUUCUGUGAGGAAUUUGUUUGCUAAGGCUCAGUGUGGGUGUAGAUAUGGAUGUAUGUUUGGGAAAUGGUUAAGAAAGAAGGGAUUUUGUUGUGCCGUGUCACAGACCUUUUUGGUUUGGGUAGAAGCCAUGAGGUUUUAGAACUGUGUUUUGAAUGAGAUGAUUAGACAAUAACAAAUGCAGGAUGGGAAAUCCCUAGACUGCAUAAAACUGGAGCUGAUAUUCCAGUUUCUGUGGCUUGGAUUUUCACAGAUCAUUUUUCCAAGAACCUGGAAAGAAUCUUGCCAGGUCAAGUCUUGUCCAUGGCAGUUCACUCACCUAUUCAUUUAUUCAUGUAGCUAGUACAUAUUGUAUGUUGGGUACUAUUCUAUGUGCCGGCGACACAGCAGUGGACAGCAUACCUGCUUUCAGAGAACUUAUGUUCUAAGGGGAAGCUAUCAAAUAAACAAAUAAUGUACCAAGAGAGAGAGCAAGGUAAGAUAUUAGGGAACAGGUGAGGCUGGUAAGAAAUGCCUUUUUGAUAUGGGAGGGGGCACCCAGAAAGAUACACUUGAGCAGAGACCAAGAGAAAUAAGGAGGGGAGCCUAUGAAACAUCUAUGAGGAAACAAGGACUGCAAAGGCCUGAGGUGGGCGCAGCAUCACACAGGUGUGGAGGAUGAGCAAGGAGGCCGUAAUGUUGACAGUGAAGUCGAAAAACGGUGAGAUGUAAGGAGAGGGAGGUAAGAGAUGAGGACUGAGGUUGGAGAGCACCAGAUUGGGUGUCUUAUAGGCCAGGGCAAGGGCUUUGGAUUCUAUUCUGGAUGAGACAGGAUGCAUUGGAGAGUGAACUGCAGAAGGAGAGGAUCUCACGUUUUUAAAGGAUCACUCUGGCUGUAGAGAAGAAACAGGUGAGAAGACCAGUGACGUCACUCUUGCAGUAGUACUGAUGAGAGCUGGCAGUGAUUUAGACCAGGAUGAGAGCAGCAAAGCUGGAAGAAAGGGUCAGACUCUGCAGACAUUUCAAAGGAGAAUCUGACAAUGUGUGUUAAUGGAUUGGAUGUGGGUAAGAGAGAAAAUGCAAAAUCAAAGCUGACAUCUGAGCAAUUGGAAGAAUGGCAGGGCCAUUUCUUGGCUCUUCUUCUGUAGAGAAGAGAUAACUCUCAGCUGUGAUGGUUAAAUGAGUUAAAGUUCGGUCCGGCUAUGUGCAGCCCACUGAGAGAGAAAUUUUCUCUUUUCCCAACGGCUACUUCCCCCAUGUUCUCAGCCCUGAACAUCAUGGAUCCAGAUGGAAUCAUUUCUCAAGCUGCUCUGAGAUGGAACAGCUGCAAGGUUUGUUACAGCUACCGCAGUCCCCUCCAUGUGACCCUUCAAGCUGCAAGCUUUCAAAGAUGCAAACGUGUGUUUGCAUGUCUACUCACUUUCUGUAGCUCAGGAGUUCUAGCACAGCUUAACUGGGUCCUCUGCAAGACUGCAGUCAAGGUGUCAGCCAGGAGUAGGAUUUUAUCUGAAAACUUGACUGGGAAAGGAUCCACAUGGUUGUCAGCAGGAUUCAGGUCUUUUCUGACUGACUGAUGGCUUCAGCUGCUCCUGGAUGUCUGCCUCAGUUCUUUGCUGUGGCCCUUUCCUGGGGACAGCUCAUGACAUGGCAGCUUGCUUCUUCAAAGUCACCAAGGGAGAGAGACUCCUAGCAAGACAGAUGUCACAAUACUGUGUAAAGUAAUCACACGUAUCUCAGCAUGCAGAUCACACCCAGGGGAGGGAUUACACAAGUGUGUGAGCACCAGAAAUCAGGAUCGUGGAGGUCACUGCAAGUCUUUUGCCACAGAGAGUUUAUUGAUAGCCUUCUCCCAUGAUACAGGAUGGAGCACCCUGGCAAGGACCCUGGGAAGCAGUGCUAACAUGCUGCUCAGAGACAGCAACGUUCCACAUUAAGCGGAGGUUAAAUGUCACACACUGCUGUGGCAGAUGGUGGAAGAAGACCAAAGCAUGCAGGAGGGGCUGCUUCAUAUGAGAUGAGAAAAGCCAAUGGCUCUGUUCUUCAAGGGGGCCUAGAGGACUCUGUGUUUACCAAAGUGAUAAUGCAUGAAGGAGAAAGAUGCUGGGUGUGUGCUACAGAGGCUGUGGCCUGACAAGGGAGAGAGGGGCAGAAGUGGUGAGGAGUAGCUGGAUUCUGGACAAGAUUUGUUGACAGGCUGAAUGUGGGGUGUGAAAAAAGGAGAGGAGUAAGGGCUGACUCUAAGGUUUUGGGGCCAAGCAACAGAAGAAUAAGGGUACAUUUACUGAGCUGAAGAAAACUGUAAGAAAAACAGCUUUGUGGGUGUUAAAAAACCAAAUUUAGCUGAGUAAAUUUUAAGGAUCAUGUUGGCUUAUUCAAUGAUUCAUGAGUCAAAAAGCAUCCGAUCCAGCUGAUAUUAAUAGAAUAACUGAGAAGCUGUAUAAAAGGAGAGACUUUUACAAGCAGAAGGGAGCAGGAACAAGUUUUUCUAGGCAAGAGAGCAAAUUGGUUAUCACAGGGUUACUUUCCUUUAGGGGAUGGUAGGGGUCUAGCAGGCAGAUUACCUAACUAGUGUUGAUCAGGGGAUUCUUGAUUGACUGGUUUUAAAAUUCCACUUCUGGGAGAGCUGAAAUUGCAAUUAAGUCUCAGUUUGGUGAUGUGUGGCUUAGCAUAAGUAACCCCAGUUUGGGUCUGUUGUCUUGUUUUUAACAUGGAGAAAUCAAUGGAGACGUCUGUUAGACAUUCAUAUAGAGACGUGAAUAGGCAGUUGGAUAUAUGAGUCUGGAGUUCAGGACAGGUCAAAGCAAUAGAUAGAAACUUGGGAGUUAUCAGCUUAUGGAUGUACAGACCAUCCAUAUGGGAUUGGAUGACAUCACCUAGAGAGGAAGUGUAGAUAAAGAAAGGGUUAGAGAAAUUGAACCCCAGAGCAUUCCAACAUUUGGAGACUGAGGACUGAGGAGAUUAGAAAGCCAGGGUCUAUCAUAGGACUAACGUGGGGAAGGAGAGAGCUGCAAGAAAGGAGGGGGAGGGACUAGGCUGCAAGAAGGAAUGCUGGUUGGGAGGAUCAUCUAGUGUCAAGAGCUUCAGAGUGGAGGGCUUUAAACACGGCUGAGUGCUGAAGCUCUGUGGAACAGGCUGUGGCAGGACCAACUACCCAGGAGAGGCAGAGUGCUCAAGGUGCAGCCAGGGUUCAGAAGUAGCAAGUCAUGAAGGGACAGACCAGAGAAGAGGCUGGGCAUGUAGGGAUUCUAUUGAUGAUGGAUAAAGAGAUUCCUCCUCUCUCCCCUUGCUCCCUCCCCAGGCCACCAGAGAGCUUUCAGUUAAUUUCCAGAUUAUUGCUUUCCUAUCCCUGCCCCCAUCUUCCCAAGAGAAUGACUCAGACUUUGGUAGAGACUGUUGUACUCAGAAGUUCUGAAGACCAGGGGACUGAAGGAAGGAAAAGAUUUUGAAAGACAUUAGAUCCUAACAAUAGCUGGGCUGGGGGAGAACAUGAGAAUGUGUUAGGGGUGGGCUUGGGAAAGAAGGAAAGAGAGGAAGGUGGUAAAGAAAUGUCUAGAUUGAUCUAGAUUCUUGUGCAGCUGGAUAGAAUUGGGGUAGAGAAAAGAGAGUAUGAAAAGUCCUGCAGGGUUUAUGAAUUGGACUCCCUUGAAGGUCAAGACAUGAGGAACAAAUGAAAGUCCUUUUCAAUAAUUUCUUCAUUACUUUCUUGAAUGCAGCAGUGCUUGGGGUGGAGCUUGUGGGUACUGACUAGGGUAGGAUUUAAAAUGGAUAAAGAUAACUGGACCCCACCACAAGCCAAGGUCUGGUCCCUGAAAGAAGCAAAAAUCAGGUAAGGUAAUUCCUAUAGAAUAUUAUCAUGAAAGACUUACCCAAGCUUACUCAUUCAUUCAUCAAUCCAUACAUCAAUCCACCAACCAAACAAUCCCUAUAAUGUCAGCUCCAGGGGUCUGGGAUUUUUAUCUCAUUUUCUCUUAUGUGUCCAACACCUGGAGGAGUGCUUAUUCAUCCUACAAAUGUGCGUUGCCUCCUGGCUAUGCUAUCCUCUGUGUCAAGUACUGCUUUAUGCUGGUGUACAAGGUAGGCAUCUUCCUGUGCUGCCCUUAUGUUCUAACUCUCUACUGGUAUCACAAAUGAACAAAUACAUUUGUAAUUAUAAGAUGUGGUUUUGUUAAAUGCUAUAAAGGAAAUGCACAUGCUGAUGGGCUAAAGAGUAAUGAGUGUCUUGAAUUAGAGUGGUUAAAAUAGGCCUCUCAGCUCAAGCCUGAAGGAGAUGUGGCCGUCCGUGGUGGUAGGAGAAGGAAUGGUUAUUUUCUAAAGACCACAGCAAGUGUGAAGUAUGUAAGGACCGAAAGGAUGCGCAUAUCAUUUUAUUGCACUAUCAGUGUUAUUUUUCCAACAGCAUGUGUUCACUUUGUGUCUAUGUCACAUUUUGGUAACUCUUGAAAUAUUCCAUGCUUUUUCAUUUUGAUAAUAUUUGUUUUGGAGAUCUGUGCUGUUACUAUUGUAAUUGUUUUUAAGUGCAACAAAUCAUGUCCUUUUAAGAUGGAGAACUUAAUUGAUAAAUGUGGUGUGUGUUCUGGGGCUUCCCAUGUGGCGCUAGUGGUCAAGAACUCACCUGCUAAUGCAGGAGACAUAAGAGAUAUGGGCUCAGGGUUCAAUUCCUGGGUUGGGAAGAUUCCCUGGAGGAGAGCGUGGCAACCACUCCAGAAUUCUUGCCUGGAGAAUUCCAUGGAUAGAGGAACCUGGUGGGCUAUAGUCUAUAGGGUCGUAAAGAGUCAGACAUGACUGAAUGCUUGUGUUCUAAGUGCUCCACCAUCCGGCGCUUUCCCCCAUUUUUCUCCCCUCUUGUGCCUCCCUCUUCCUUGAGAUACAACAAUGUUGAAACUAGGCUAAUUAAUGCCCCUACAAUGGCCUCUAAGUGUUUUAGUGAAAGUAAAAGUUGCAUGUCACUCACUUUAAACCAAAAGCUAGAAAUGAUUAAGCUUAGUGAGGAAGGCACGUCAAAAGCUGAGACAGGCUGAAAGUUAGACUUCUUGUGCCAGUCAGUCGGUCAAGUUGUGAAUGUGAAGAAAAGGUUCUUGGAGGAAAUUAAAAGUGCUACUCCAGUGAACACUCAAAUGAUAAUUAAGUGAAACAGUGUUUUUGCUGAUAAUGGGGAAAAAUUUUCGUGGUCUGGUUAGAAGAUUAACCAGUCACAUUUCCUUAAGUCAAAACCUAAUCUAGAGCCAGGGCCUCACUCUCUUCAAUCCCAUGAAGACAGAGAGGUGAGGAAUCUGCCGAAGAAAAGUGUGAAGCUAACAGAAGUUGGUUCAUGUGAUUUAAGAAGCCAUUUCUGUAACGUGAAAUUGCAAGGCGAAGCAGCAAGUGUUGUUAUACAGCUGCAGCAGGUUAUCCAUAUUUAGUUAAGAUAGUUAAUGAACAUGGCUAUGUUAAACAACAGAUUUUCCUUUUUUUUUUUUUUUUUUUGGCUAAACUGUGUGGCUUGUGGGAUCUUAGUUUCUCGACCAGGGAAUUGAACCCUGAGUCCUUGGGAGUGAGACGGCAGAGUCCUAACCACUGGACUGCCAGAGAAUUCCUAGAUUUUCAAUGUAAAUGAAACAGCCUUUAUUAGAGGAAGAUGCCAUCCAGGUCAUUGAUAACUAGAGAGAAGAAGUCAAUGCCUGGCUUCAAAGUUCAGCCGAACUCUUUUGCUAGGGGUAAAGUAGCUGGUGAAUUGAAGUUGAAACUAAUGCUCAUUUACCAUAGGGCCUUUGAAUUAAGCUAAAUCUAUUCUGCCUGUGCUCUCUCUAAAUGAAAUUAAAAAGCCUGAAAGAAAGCACAUCUGUUUACAAAAUGAUUUACUGAAUAUUCAAAUCCCACUGUUGAUUUGAAAGAAAAGAUUCCUUUCAAAAUAUUACUGCUCUUUGACAACACACCUGGUCACCCAAGAGCUCUGAUGGAGAUGUACAAUGAGAUUAAGGUUGUUUUCCUGCCUGCCAACACAAUGUCCAUUCUGCAGCCCAUGAAUCAUGGAAUAAUUUUGACAUUCAAGUCUUAUUUAAGAAAUAUGUUUCAUAAAGCUAUAGCUGCCAUAGCGAGUGAUUCCUGUGAUGGGGCUGGGCCAAGGAAAUUGAAAGCCUUCUGGAAAGGAUUCACCAUUCUAGAUGCUAUUAAGAAUUAGUGAUUCACAGAAAGAGGUCAAAAUAUCAACAUUCAUAAGGAUUUGAAAGAAGUUGAUUUCAACCCUCAUGGAUGACUUGGAGGGCUUCGGCUUUAGUGGAGGAAGUGACUGCAGGUGUGGUGGAAAGAGCAAGAGAAUUAGAAUUAAAACUGGAGCCUGAAGAUGGAACUGAAUUGCUGCAAUCUCAUGGUAAAACUUUAACAGAUGAGGAGUAUUUCUUAUGGAGGAGCAAAGAAAGUGGUUUUUUGAAAUGGAACCUACUCCUGGUGAAGAUGCUAUAAAGACUGUUGAGAUGAGAACAAAAGAUUUAGAAUAUAAUAUACUCUGAGUUGAGAAAGCAGUGGCGGGGUUUGAGAGGACUGACUCCAACUUUGAAAAAGAGUUUUACUGUGGGGAAAAUCCCAUCAAACAGGAUUGCAUGCUACAGAGAAAUCAUUCGUGAAAGGAAGAGUCAAUCUGUGUGGCAAUCAUUGUUGUCUUAUUUUAAGAAAUUGCCACGGCCACCCCAACCUUCAGUAACCACCACUCCGAUUAGCAGCCAUCAACAUCAAGGCAAGACCUCCACCAGCAAAAAUAUUAUUACUCACUGAAGCCUCAGAUGAUGGUUAGCAGUUUUAGCAAUAAAGUAUUUUUUAAUUAAAAUGUAUACAUUACUUUUUUAGACAUAAUGCUGUCGUACACUGAAUGUAAACAUAACUUUAUAUGCACUGGGAAACUGAAAAAUUCCUAUGACUCACUUUAUUGUGAUAUUCACUUCAUUGCAGUGGUCUGGAAUUGAACCCACACUAUCUCCUGUGGGUAUGCCUGUAUAUUUAUACUUUUUAAUGAGAAAGUUGUGACCAGUCACUGGACUGGUGAUUCAGUUCUGCAUCUUCCAGUUCUCUCUCUCUGGCUUUCCAAUAGUUAACAUUUAUGAAUGACAGUAUUUCUUUCCAUCCUUUCCAAUCUGAAGGAUACAACAUGGUCCUUCACUGUUUUAAUUGCAUUUCUUUGACAAUAUUGGGGCUGGUGGUAAACAUCUUUUCAGGUGUUUAUUGGGUGUUUGUUUUCCUUUCAUGAACUGCCAGUUCAUCUCCCUUGCCAAUAUAUUUGGGAUUUAUCAUAUUUUUAUUGAUCCAUUAAAAGUAUUUUAAAUUCAUUCCACUUCAAAAAUAAAUAUUUUUACAUUACUUCUGCCAAGAGAGAAAGAGUCACCAAAUGUCACAUGUCAGUAUUAGGAUGUGAGCCCACUGGAAAGGUUGAGGAUCACUGCUGGAGGUUACAUGUCUGCAAAUUGACUUUUUGUUCCCUUGGUCCUUAAACUCCAGUGGGAGGGUGGGGAGGUGACCAACAAACCCCAGUUCAGUAAGAAAUGUGCGAUUCCAAUUCAGCAGUUGCCAGCCUAGGUUGGCCCCAGACUCCCUGCUUCUCACCCCUCCUCCUCUCCAGCCUCCCAACUGCCCCCAACUUCACACUGGGUGGUCUCCCCCCGCCAAGAUUGAAGGGAUUAUCCGGGAUCAAUAUUUGAAAUAGUUGUAUUUUUUUUCUAACUGGAGUUAAGUUUAUAAGCUUUUUUUAUUUAACCACCAAACACCAGAAAUAAAAACCUGGAAGGGAGCCAGUUUGACUCGGAGCCAGUAUACUUCCUCAUAGCCAAGGAACUCACCCUUCUCCUUGUUUUUCCCCAGAAGUUACUGACAUUUCCUUUCAAAAGCUGAUUCUUCUACUUCUCAAAUUCUUCAUCGUUCAGACCCCAACCGAUUCCCAGAGAUCCAGCUUUCCCAGUCCAGCCACAGCCCAACCCCGAUACCUGAGCUGUACCUGGAGCCGAAGCCAAGUGACCCGGGCUCUAACUCUGGGGAGCUUUAACCACCAGCUAUGCAAAUGCGAAACAAGGCCCUAGUCAGCACAGGAGGGGCCCAAGAGCAUCUGAAGCUUCUGAAAGCUGGUCUUUGAAUAGAGGUGUGGGGAGGGUUUUGCUCAUACUACUACUCAAGGACUGGAAUAAAUCCAUGUACUUAUUUACACUCAUCAUCGUCAUUAUUAUUAAUACUACAGUGGGUAGCCAUUUCCUUCUCCAGGGGAUCUUCCUAACCCAGGCAUCAAACCCAGGUCUCCUACAUUGCAGGCAGAUUCUUUACUAUCUGAGCCACCAGGGAAGCCCUAUUAAUAUAUUAUCAAUUAUUAAACAUGUAUUGAGCACCAACUGUGUAGGAGGCACUCUUCUAGGUACUAGUGAACAAGACUAAGUGGACUCUGGUGAAAUUUGCUGCUCAGGGGCAAAGACAGACAUGGAAUAAAUAAUUCCACAAAGUCAAUAAUUACAAGUGUGAAAUUCUGCUUAGUCAAGUGGGAAUGAUUUCAUGGCCUCCUUUCUGAAUCCUUUGGAAGGAUUCAAGGGAGCAGUAAGGAGACUGCCCCAGGGGCUUGUGACGGCAGUCCUUUCCUUCUGCCUCCCACAUGUAGGGCUGGGCUGUUCUGGGAAAACAGACAUCCCUGACGUGAGUAAAAGACCUAGAGGAGGGCAUGGGCAGAAGCUGGGCAACCCUGGAGCUGUUUUUUCUUUCCCUGCUUGGGAAACUCCUCUCGAAGUCCAGCCUCACGACUCUCAUGAGCACUCUCGGCGCUUUGGGACUUGUCCUGAGACGUGGCAGGAUUGUCCCGGCUGGCCUUCGAAGUCAUCUCUGAGUCAGCUCUCACUGACCAGCAUAUUCAGGCCGCCUCCCCUCAGCUCCCUGCUCCUGCUCUUUCAUGCUCAGAACUCAUGUUCCAGAUGGACUCAGCUGGCAAGUGUUUGAGACGUGUCUCAGCAUCUUGUGAUGUGUUCCUGGAUCUCUGGGCCCCUGUGUGGGGUGAGUCACUGGCUAUGACUUGAUCCCUGCCGCAUGUGGGCCCCUUCUUCCUGGGUCCAUAAACCAAAGUCCAUCAUCUGAAAGCAGACCCCCAGGUCCCUGCGGCAAGGCCCGGAUGGGACAACUCUGCACUGAGACACAGCCAGUUGGCCCUGCCUUCCAAGGAUUCUUUUAUUCUCCUUUUUCUUCCACACUGAUUGUUUCUCAGAUUUCCUUUCUCAAGGGAUGGGGAUAAAAGCACCAUCCCACUGGGUCUUUUUCCCUCCCAGCUCCCUUUUAUUACUUAACAUUUGUUAAAACUUUUUUACACCUGGGCUAUGAGACUGAACACAGUUGGGAAUGCUGCCAAAGCAGAAAUAUUGCUGUUCCGUCCAAAAGGAUGAAUUUCCUUUUUAGCAGUUUGGGGGAAGAGGUGAAUUGGUGAGAUGGGGAAAUGGGAGGAAAGGGAGGUAUUGUCUUUUGGUUAAGAGCCUGCCAGGAUUCAAAGCCUGGCACUGUCACUUCCUAGCUGAAUGGCUUUGGGCAAAUUUUCUGUUUCAGUUUUCUCAUCAAUAAAAUAUAAAUAAGCACCCAAUUCAUAAGACUGUUGUGAAGAUGAAAUUAGUUAAAACAUAUACAGAUCUUUUUAAAAAAAUCCCUAAAAUAUGUGUUAGUAAUAGUGCUUUUGUUGAUAUUACAGGCACUUAGGGAGGUUCACUUUUGUAGAUUUUUGCAAUUUCAGGCUGGUAAUAAUGAUUUCUGUGUACUGCCACCCCCUUUCUGUCUUUUCUGGAUUAGUACUACAAAAUAGCCAGUCUGGUAUGUUUUCUUUCAUUUUCCGUCAACUCAGAUCAAUAGCACUUGGCUGGAAUGUUUCCUUUGCUCCAGUAUCUCUAGGAUCUGCCUCACUUAAGGUUUGGGUCAGGUCUGAGCAGGGGAAACCCAUUCCUCACUGAACGGUUCUUUUCUCCCCAAGCCUGAAGUCCCCCCUCAUCCAUGGCUGACCCUCAGGAGAGCCUAUUUGAAUCAUCCAUCUAUCAAGGCAUUUAUUUACUCGUUUAUUCCACACACACUAUUGGGUAUCAACUAUCUGUUAGGUAGUGUGAGCGAUACUAGGUCUAAAAAGAUGAAAAAUAGUUUCUGUGCUCAAGAGGUCAAAGUCACUGACAAAUAUAAUCCUGGUGUAUUAAGUGCCAUUAUAAAGGUAAGUGUGAGGUACCUGACCUGAUCUGAGUGUGGGGGGUUGAUGGUGUUCUGUGCUGGGUUCUGGGAAACAAGGAGGAUUUGGCCAAGUGAAAUGAAGGGGAUGACAUUCCUGGCAAGAAAGCAGCUGGUACAAAUGUCUAGAGAGAGAAAAGAGAGCUGGCUCAGAGUUUGGUGUGGAUUUUCUCGGAGGCGUGUGCCAGGAGAGGGUGGGGGUUCCUCUCAGUUUUUCCACUGAUGAUCAGGAUCUGUCAUAUUUAAUUUGUUUUCUUAUUUUUAUAAUUAGUUAAUUUAUUUGGCUGCUCAGGGUCUUAGUUGCUGCUUUCCUAUUUCUUUAUAUUCUAUUUCAAAUGGUGCUCAAACAAUGGUAUGAAUUUUAAUAAUUUUCACUUGACCUAUAUGAAAUUGGGGGAUUCAUUAUAUAUAUGUUCUGCGAUAGUAUGUGUAUGUUUUCACAUUUCUGGUUAAACACACAUGUAUUAAUCUCAGAUACCUUGCAAAAAUAUCACUGAAAUGAGAGGAGACAAAAAUAGGUAUAAAUUCGUAAAGCCAGAGAGAAGAGACAACAGCAGAUGAGAAAAGUCAAUAAAUAUUUGGAAAAUGAAAAUCAGAUAAAAAAGAGCUAGAGAGCUAUGAAGGGCCUUACACUGAGCUCCUUGUGAAAUAGACCCUGAGACAGAGAUCUGAUGCAGGAGGUUUAUUGGGCAAAGCUCUUGGGAACCACACCUCCUGAGGAGUGAAAGAUGCAGGGCUGGGCAGAGAGAGAAACGGAACUGGGAUGCAGUCAUGCCAGUCUGAUCUCACAGGAAGCUCUUCAGAGUGCUCCCAAAUUGAAGCAAGAGGUUCAGGCCCUUGUGUGCCUCCAUGGACCAGUCGUUGGAUGUGGUUGCCCCUGGAAGGGAGAUAAUCUUGGGAGAGGCAGUUUUCUUCAUCCAGGGCCAAUUCUUGGGAAGGAACUCAGCUGUGAGCCUUCAAGAGAAAAUACUUCCAGCUACUGGGAAAUGAGGCUCCAUCAAAAAGAGAGUAUCUGGGCUUCCCUGGUGGCUUAGUGGCAAAGAAUCUGCCUGCCAAUGCAGGAGACAUGGGUUCCAUCCCAGGAAGAUCCCACUUGCCUUGGGACAGCUAAGCCUGUGAGCCACAAAAACUGUUAGCCUGUGCUCUAGAGCCCGGGUGCUGUAACUACUGAAGUCCCGAAGCGCUUAGAGCCCAUACUCUGUAAUAAGAGAAACCACUGAAACUAGAAGCCUGUACACGGAAACUAGAGAGUAGCCCCCCAUUCACCACCCAAGCACACUAAAUAAAGCAACAAA